rnacentral:rRNA from 1 species
AACGCCGAAAACCCAAGGUUUCCUACGCGAUGCUCGUCAUCGUAGGGUUAGUCGGGUCCUAAGUCGAGUCCGAAAGGGGUAGACGAUGGCAAAUUGAUUAAUAUUUCAAUACCAACAUAUAAGCGCGAUGUGGGGACGCAUAGAGUUAGUCGAGGUCACUGAUGGAAUAGUGGCUCGAAGGACGUAGGUUGUUACUUAGGCAAAUCCGGGUAUCAUAAGACCGAGAUCUUACAGGCUCUUGACACUCUUCGGAGGAGAUGGAGAAUCGAUGAUACUGUCGUGCCAAGAAAAGCCACUAAGUUUAUUAUAUGUUGCCCGUACCGUAAACCGACACAGGUGGGUGGGAUGAGUAUUCUAAGGCGCGUGGAAGAACCCUGGUUAAGGAACUCUGCAAACUAGCACCGUAUCUUCGGUAUAAGGUGUGCCUACUUUGGUAUAUGGACUUGCUCCAAAAAGCUAAAGAGGUUGCAACAAAGAGUCCCUCCCGACUGUUUACCAAAAACACAGCACUUUGCUAACACGUAAGUGGAUGUAUAAGGUGUGACGCCUGCCCGGUGCUCGAAGGUUAAUUGAUGAUGUCAGCGCAAGCGAAGCAUUUGAUCGAAGCCCGAGUAAACGGCGGCCGUAACUAUAACGGUCCUAAGGUAGCGAAAUUCCUUGUCGGUUAAAUACCGACCUGCAUGAAUGGCGUAACGAGAUGGGAGCUGUCUCAACCAGGGAUCCAGUGAAAUUGUAGUGGAGGUGAAAAUUCCUCCUACCCGCGGAAAGACGGAAAGACCCCGUGCACCUUUACUACAGCUUGACACUGUAGCUUGGAUAUUCAUGUGCAGGAUAGGUGGGAGGCUAUGAUGACUAGACGCAAGUAGAGUCGGAGCCAUCCUUGAGAUACCACCCUUGAAUAUUUGAGUUACUAACUGCGAUGAGUUAUCCUCAUUCAGGACAAUGUCUGGUGGGUAGUUUGACUGGGGCGGUCGCCUCCUAAAUAGUAACGGAGGCUUACAAAGGUUAGUUCAAAGCGGAUGGAAAUCGCUUGUUGAGUAUAAUGGCAUAAACUAGCUUGACUGUGAGACCUACAAGUCGAACAGAGACGAAAGUCGGUCAUAGUGAUCCGGUGGUUCUGCGUGGAAGGGCCAUCGCUCAAAGGAUAAAAGGUACGCCGGGGAUAACAGGCUGAUCUCCCCCAAGAGCUCACAUCGACGGGGAGGUUUGGCACCUCGAUGUCGGCUCAUCGCAUCCUGGGGCU